UACGUAGGGCGCAAGCGUUGUCCGGAAUUAUUGGGCGUAAAGAGCUCGUAGGCGGCUUGUCACGUCAGGCGUGAAAGCCCCGGGCUUAACCUGGGAAUUGCGCUUGAUACUCUGAGACUGGAGUACGGGAGAGGAGAGUGGAAUUCCCAGUGUAGAGGUGAAAUUCGUAGAUAUUGGGAAGAACACCAGUGGCGAAGGCGGCUCACUGGCCCGGUACUGACGCUGAGGUGCGAAAGCGUGGGGAGCAAACAGG
rnacentral:rRNA from 1 species